CAAAUUCUGAAAUCAGAUGCCGUCAAAUCAGACACCAGGACAGCCGGCAUUGCCUCUGGGUCACAGAUGCAUUCACCCACAGGCGCUGUCCUCGCCUUGCCAGUGGGGUCUUGGUGAAGACGUGAUGCGGGGACCUUCUUUCUUUUUGUGGUUAUCUGUGCCAGCCUUCCCUGCAGGCUGCUCUUCCUCCAGCACGUUCUGUUUCUGUUACCGGCUCUUUCCACCCCCGGCAUCUCCGCCUAGAGCCACACACGUACGCGGAGCACCCACGUGGGCCAGGCUUUGUUUUGGGGCUGGCGGCACCAACAUGCAGAUGCUGUGGCUCAAAGGAUUAAUUAAUUUGCUUAAGAUAAUGCAACAUGAGAAAAGCAGAUCAGGACGGAAUUCCAGAACAAGGAUUUUGCUUGGAAUAACAUCACUACUAAUUGUCUCUCUGCACCUCCUGGCUCGUUUCUCUACUCCCACACCUUCCCUGCUGACCCUAGUCAAGGAGCUGUGAACAUACAAAUAGUGCCUGAUACACUAGGGCCUCGGCAUUGGCCAUGGGAGUGAGGGAGAAAAUCAUUUAAGAGGCUUUGUAGUCGAUUUCAACAAAGAAGACAAUGCCAGUGAAGCAUCUUGCAGGAAUCCCUCCCUGACUGCUUCAGUCCACGGCGCUCUUACCUUUCUCUAUACACUUACAAUCUGUUUCAUUUACUUCCUAGCAGACUUUGCAGAAACCAUUAUUUCAUAUGAUACGUUUCCACCAUAGAAUAUAAGCUCCUUAAGGGAAGAGAUUUUUGCUUGGUUUUAUAAUGCUGAAUUCCAAGUGCCUAGAAAGGGCCUGGCAGGUCGUAGGCACAAGAAGUAUUGUUUGGAUGAAUAUAUACUUCUUGCAACCCACAGAAACUGAUAUUGGUCUGGGCCAGGCCCUGCCCUGGCUUCCAGGGAUGCAGAAGUGAAUCGAAUAACUUCCUGCCCUCUGAGCUUAUGGGGGAGACAUACAUACCUGCAUAUUCACAAGAGAUUUCAUCACAUGUAACCAAAGUAAAAAGGUGGCCACCAGAAGGGGGACUGGACCUGCUUGUUGGAAGGGUGCAAAUGGAAACUAGAGAGGUGAUUGUUCCAGACAUUCCCAGUGGGACAGGUGGCUGUGAGCCUGUGAUGAACUGAGAGCCACCACUGAGUAAAAGUUAAGAGGACAGGCUCUGGAGCCCAGCUGUCUGGGUUGAAUCUUUCUCUACCAAUUACUAGUUGUGUGAUGUCGUACCAGUGAUAUACUGUUGAGAUAAACGCAUAUUCCAAGACUCACUGCAGAGAUUCCAAACCAGCAAGUCUGGGCUGGCUAGGAAUCUGCUUCAUUGUUCCACAAACAUGUUAUGGUUUAUUGCAGAGGGUCUACAGACCAUGCCUUGAAAAGCUGUGGCCUUCAGGGAGGAAGGGUCAUGCUAACCAGCAAACUGGAAUGUCACACUGUGUGUCAUUGACAUUUUUCAGUGUGAAAUCACAAACUGUCAUUCAGGGUUAGACUUUAUACUACCCAGUAAGUGUCAUGGAAGAAGCUUC
rnacentral:lncRNA from 1 species